CAAUGGGUUACAUACUGGUGGUCCUGUUGUCCGUCAGGCCACACGAGGAAUCGCCAUCUUCUGGGAGAGGCCUGAGGAGAUACGCAACUUAAUGGACACAACAUUAGGACAUUCAAGCGGUUACCUGGGGAAGUCCUCAUCCUGCCACUCGUCCUUCACCUCCAUGCUGUCCAUGCGUAAAGUGGCCUCGGCUGUCCCCAUGGCGUCUGCAGCUUGGUUGAGAAUUGGCUCGCUGAGUUUGAAAAAUACACAAAUUGGCAUUGAUCGUAAUGAGCUAUAUUCAACGAUCGUUUUCAAUGUUUAAAAUUUAUAUCUUUGAUACAUUUUAUGACAGUCAACAAGAUUGUAUUUGAUAGUAGACUGCAUAUGCGUCAAUAAUGUGCAUAUAAGGGGAGAGGGCAGAGUUUAUUGUACAGUCCAUUUGUUCACUGGUUUGAAAAUGAUGUGACACACACACACACACGGACGCACACGCACUCACAGGAAACAAAAAACAACAGCAGCUAUAUGACUAAAAGGCCUUCUGGCAACAAAAUCCUGCCCACGUUGUGAUCAGAUUCAAAAUGGAGGUGGAGAAUUGCAUUUUGUAGCUCGUUAAGGGGAUCAGGGGCCAAAGGUUAAAAGAAACCAUGAUCGCUAACAUGGCUCGCAGCGGGAGAAUGAUGACGACAAUAUGUCAAUAGAGCAAUGCUGAGUGACGCUCAAAGCAAAAUUCAAUAAACAGCCAUUAAAGAAAAAAAAAAAACACGCAGGACUGCAAGAUAAGGUCAGUUUGGAUGCAUGUGACUUUUCAUAAUCUGCAAGGUUCAAUAAAAGGCUUUAAUGUUUAUCAAACCAUGGAGGUGAACUUCACUGAACACUCCAAAACAUAUUUAUGAAAAUGUGUAUCGUCUUAAGUGAAACUUCUCUGAUCAGCUGUUCAAACACAACAAACGACAUCGGCGCCCAUUCAAGCGGGCUGCUGCGUGCGUUUACUCACUUAGAAGACAAGCGCCCGUGUGAUGCGAUGACAACAAUGCGCCUUCAAAGACGGCCGAGCAUCCCCGGCAGGCGUCUGGGAGCGGUCCUUUUUACAAGCGGGAACGGCCAGCUGUUAAAUCCAUGCUAGCUGACAUCUCUACUUGUUGGAUGACCUCCCACAAAAAAGAGCAGGAAAAAAAAUCCUUCUGUUUGUCACCUCUGCGUAGUAUCCUCUCUGCUAAAGCCACGCCUCCUGUAAUCCUGCAAUGAUGAUGUCAUCCAUAUGCUGGUUAUGUAAUCAAACCAGCCUCCUCUUUAGAACCGAAUGGCUCCAGGAUAGCACGUUUCUCCCUUCUCUUCUUCGUCACGUUCCUUCAAUUCAUCAUCGGGAGUGUUUAUUUUUAAUAUGUACUCACGCACUGGCCAGUGUGGAGGUUUCCACUCUGCUGUUUCUAGGCAACCGUAUCCUCCUCUUCAUCCUCCCUCGGCAUCCCUUUUAAGCUCUCUCACUCUUCCUGCUGCCGCACGUUAACAUUCUUCCUCUGGCUCACCCGCCCUUCUUUCAUCACGAUGCACUAAGCUCUCAGGGCAGUGAGUUAGUGUGGCCUUCCUUUGUUUGAAACAAAGUGCUUUUUUCAAGGCUUGUCAUGUCCUAAUGCCUGCGUUGCUGUAAUUGACAACAAAAUGACAUGAAUUAAAAACAAAUGUAAAUACGUUUUGAAAAUUAAAACAUUCAGCCCGAACAAUGAAGAAAAAAAAAAAAAAACAUUGAACCUAAAAACAAUAUAAAAAAAUGUAAUUCAACAGAGUGUCUGCAUAGACAGCACCGCUUUGAAGUCGCCACUGGAGGGCGCUCUGCUACGAGUGAAGUUGUAAAGGGCCCACUGUCCAAAGCUGCUGGCUAAUGUUUCCUUUCCAAUGUCCCACCCUGCCUCCGUUAAAUCAGUUAGUGAAGAUUCCAACAAAAGAGAUGCUGUCGACACUUUUGCCGAGGUGUAGCGGAGUGUGAAGACAAACUAUGACCUAAAUGUGCAUUAAGCGUGGAUUAGCACACACGAUUAGAUGAACUCGCCCUAAGAAAGCACACACACACGCAAACACACACACACACACACACACACACACACACACACACACACACACACACACACACACACACACACACACACACACACACACACACACACACACACACGAUGUGCAUGGGCCACUAGGGGUCAGUAUAAUACACACAUACAUACAUACAUACAUACAUACAUACUCCACGUACUUUAGGGAUGACACAGAAGUUGCAAUAAUGUUGAAGUGCAAAUAACAGACAAAUAAUAUAUUGACUGAGUAUUGUGAUAUUAUCUGUCUACAUGUGUUGCACCACCGGUUGUCUUUAAGUAUAACUUUAAAGGUUUGCGGCCACAAUAUACCUCCACCUCUGCAUACCUGUCGGCUGCCUCAGAUCAGUGGACCAGAUGUUACUUUUUUUUACUUUAUGAACGGCAUUUUCUACACAGCUGUGGUUGUUUCAAAGAGCUCCAGAAAUAAAGUUGAGUUGAGGAGUCUGUCCAA